CCUACGGGAGGCAGCAGUGGGGAAUCCGUGAGUCUUGCGCGCAGCCUGAUCCAGCAUGCCGCGUGAGUGAUAGAAGGCCUUAGGGUUGUAAAGCUCUUUUACCCGAGAUGAUAAUGACAGUAUCGGGAGAAUAAGCUCCGGCUAACUCCGUGCCAGCAGCCGCGGUAAU
rnacentral:rRNA from 1 species